GUCGAAGUGACGUUAGUUAGGAUCACGCUUCUGACAAAAGUCUAUUUCUUUUUCUCUUCUCUCGCUGUUUGGCGUAUCACAGCGAUUUAAUCCUGCUUCGAUCGUGGACGUCACCAUGACAUUUGAGCUUGAUCUUACAGAAGGCAUGAUCCUCGUCAUUCCUCCUCACUGAACUUGUCGUAGCCGACGCAGUAAACAACGUUCCACCACAAGCACGUCUUGAGAUCAUUGAGCAGAGCAGAUCUGAUGUCUUGCUCUUGAUUCCCGAGGCUUUCGGUAGCUACGUUGAUCUGGAUGAGACUUCUCUGGGAAUCUCUGGGAAGUCUUUGGAAGCCUCUGGCACUGCGUUGUGGAAAC
rnacentral:lncRNA from 1 species